AAACAGGUUGGUCCGGGUCUAAACUGAAAACUGUUAUGUAAUAAACAUGGUUGUUCUACUAAGUGUCGCGACGUUGGUCCCCUGUGUAUUUGGUUUGUGUUAUUUUAUGUCGUCAUUAUGCGGUUUGCCAAUAAGCUCUCGGUUAGCUGCUCGGAGGAUUUCCUCAGAUGGUACGCGAAGAAUGCGUAUGUUUUAUAUAACCGCCUGUAAGGUGCAUUUAUUUGCAAUUCCUGAUAUAGUAAUUAGCUGGUGUUGUGUUAUAGAGGAACUAGUGGAAGUGUGAAUGUAUAGUCACAAUUUUCAAGGUUGUAUGAUGACUUUAUUGUUAUAAUCUGGAUUAAAUUCGGAUGAGAGCUACCAGCACAGCAACACCGUCUCCUGUGGCUCAUUUGUUCUUUUCCUGUUAAAACAGGUUGGUCCGGGUCUAAACUGAAAACUGUUAUGUAAUAAACAUGGUUGUUCUACUAAGUGUCGCGACGUUGGUCCCCUGUGUAUUUGGUUUGUGUUAUUUUAUGUCGUCAUUAUGCGGUUUGCCAAUAAGCUCUCGGUUAGCUGCUCGGAGGAUUUCCUCAGAUGGUACGCGAAGAAUGCGUAUGUUUUAUAUAACCGCCUGUAAGGUGCAUUUAUUUACAAUUCCUGAUAUAGUAAUUAGCUGGUGUUGUGUUAUAGAGGAACUAGUGGAAGUGUGAAUGUAUAGUCUCAAUUUUCAAGGUUGUAUGAUGACUUUAUUGUUAUAAUCUGGAUUAAAUUCGGAUGAGAGCUACCAGCACAGCAA